rfam:TPA: Bos taurus chromosome 10, whole genome shotgun sequence.
CCUGGUGGCUCAGAUGGUAAAGAAUCUGCCUGCAAAGCAGGAGACCUGGGUUCAAUCCCUGGGUCAGGA